ensembl:rRNA 5S_rRNA 5S ribosomal RNA
AAAUCUGGUAGAGGCUGUGUGGCCACCUGGUCCCAGCAGACCCCAGUGAACAACCACAUUUGCUGGUGCUGGAACAAGGUCAUUAAGGGUGAAGCCUGGAGCCAGAUGUG